rnacentral:rRNA from 1 species
AGCGAACGCUGGCGGCAGGCUUAACACAUGCAAGUCGAGCGCCCCGCAAGGGGAGCGGCAGACGGGAGAGUAACACGUGGGAACAUACCUUUUGGCUCGGAACAACUGAGGGAAACUUCAGCUAAUACCGGAUAAGCCCUUACGGGGAAAGAUUUAUCGCCGAAAGAUUGGCCCGCGUCUGAUUAGCUAGUUGGUGAGGUAACGGCUCACCAAGGCGACGAUCAGUAGCUGGUCUGAGAGGAUGAUCAGCCCCACUGGGACUGAGACACGGCCCAGACUCCUACGGGAGGCAGCAGUGGGGAAUAUUGGACAAUGGGGGCAACCCUGAUCCAGCCAUGCCGCGUGAGUGAUGAAGGCCUUAGGGUUGUAAAGCUCUUUUGCCCGGGAAGAUAAUGACGGUACCGGGAGAAUAAGCCCCGGCUAACUUCGUG